CCUACGGGUGGCAGCAGUGGGGAAUAUUGGACAAUGGGCGAAAGCCUGAUCCAGCCAUGCCGCGUGUGUGAAGAAGGCCUUCGGGUUGUAAAGCACUUUCAGUGGGGAAGAAAGCCUUGGGGCUAAUACCCUCGAGGAAGGACAUCACCCACAGAAGAAGCACCGGCUAACUCCGUGCCAGCAGCCGCGGUAAUACGGAGGGUGCGAGCGUUAAUCGGAAUUACUGGGCGUAAAGCGCGCGUAGGCGGUCUGAUAAGCCGGUUGUGAAAGCCCCGGGCUCAACCUGGGAACGGCAUCCGGAACUGUCAGGCUAGAGUGCAGGAGAGGAAGGUAGAAUUCCCGGUGUAGCGGUGCAAUGCGUAGAGAUCGGGAGGAAUACCAGUGGCGAAGGCGGCCUUCUGGACUGACACUGACGCUGAGGUGCGAAAGCGUGGGUAGCAAACAGGAUUAGAUACCCCAGUAGUC
rnacentral:rRNA from 1 species